AAAUUAUUUUAUAAUUUAAAUAACAAUAAUAUCUUUAUUAUCAAUAUUAUAUAACAUUAGAACACUACAAAACAUAAAAUAUAUUGAUUGCUUAUUGGUAAUGCUGUGACUAUACCCUAUUGCAUUGGUUUCCCCGAAAAUGUUAUCUGGGUCCAUCGAACAUGCAUUUUGAAACAUGAACAUUGUGAACGCUUCUAAGGUGCAUGCCGCCAACUUGUUUGAAACAAUUGUAUGCCUCUUUUCUUGUGUUAUUUCUCACCCCAAGUACGCACUUUAUUCAAUGUUAAUGUCUGUUGGUAGAUAACCAGUAAUAGUAGGUCAUCUACAACAACGACAAUCAGAACAAAACAAACAGAGGCCAGCCUAUAUAGCUUCUUUAAAUUAGCAUCAAGCAUCGAUUAUGCCUCGAAUACAAACACAAGUAGUUUAUAAGCAGCAAAUGCACCAACUUCCAUUGUUAGUUAUUCGAAAAUUUCAAUCACAGCAAAAUCAGCUAAUUCAACAGCAAGCAAUAAAAACUUUUAGAACAUAUUCAACAUACACCGUCUGUUACCUAUCUCUUACAACACUAUCUAAUGAUGUUAUUCCACAUGCAGGCAUUUAUAGCUGCAUUCAGUUAUUCAAUAUAUUCAAAUAUAGCGAACCUAUCAUAUAUUAUGCAAUCCAAGAAUUCAAUAUGGGCGAAAUGGCAGUCCAACUCUGGGUUGAUCCGUACAACAUUUUUGGUAACCAAAUGGCACAAUAUCAGCUACCAUCUAGCCAAUCCGGUCAAGUCACGAUUGUUCAGUACCAACCACAACCACUGGGGGCCGAAAUUCUACAGCCUGUCUUGCAGACUAUUAAAUUACAACAAACACAGUCUGUCUGGUCAAUGUUGAUCCCAGUAAACGAACGCCAGAAAAACCUGCUCCGAUAAGAAUGAUGAUGCCUCAACUAAAUCAGUUCCAGAAUCUUCAACCGUCAAUCAUACCCACCAGGCCAUUUACAGUCACAGUUUUGUUAGAAUGAUAAAAAUGAGCCCAUGCAUGCAGCUUUGCUGUUAUUAACAGAAGUGUUUGAAGUAGACGAACAACUUCAAUUCCUUCGGCAACAAAGGUCAUGUCAUGUUACAACAACAUAUUAUUAGAGAUUUAUUUAGUCAUGUAGUUAACGGUAGUUUCAAAAAGUAUGUGACUACUGUUGGAAUUAGUUUCCUUAUUAACUUACAAUGAUUAUUAUUAUAUUCGUAUACACUUAAAUAAUAUACUAUGUAUAUACAAUUAACUUACAUCAACUAGACAAAAAUAAGCUAAUGUACAAUGAAAUCUUUAAAUGGAAUUAAGUGUAUAAAAAUAUAUACAGUUUCGCGGGAUGGUUGUGAUCGAUAUAUUAUUUUUAGUCAACUUCAGUCAUAACAACUUUGUGAUGGGGAAAAAAAUGUGUUGUUGAUAAUUUUUUGCAUAAUAUAAUUCAAAUGUAUAUUGUAUAUAGUA
rnacentral:misc_RNA from 1 species